GGAAGUAAAAGUCGUAACAAGGUUUCCGUAGGUGAACCUGCGGAAGGAUCAUUAAUGAAUUGAAAGAGUCGUGGAUCAACUUCCAGGCUCGACCCUCUUCAUUUUCCUACCCUGUGCAUUUUUUAUUACCAAAGGUGGUCCUAACGUGCCGAAAGCUGCCUCUAUUAAGCAGUGAUUACGUUUUUAGGCUGCCGCUUUUUUACAUUCAAACUCUACAAGUUAAUGUAUGUUACAAAAACUAUAACAAAGAAAAACUUUCAACAACGGAUCUCUUGGCUCUCGCAUCGAUGAAGAACGCAGCGAAAUGUGAUAAGUAAUGUGAAUUGCAGAAUUCAGUGAAUCAUCGAAUCUUUGAACGCAUCUUGCGCUCUCUGGUAUUCCGGAGAGCAUGUCUGUUUGAGUGUCGUGAAAUCUUCAACCUCACCAUUUUCUUGUUGAAAUGCGUGAAGGCUUGGUUCUUGAGCGCUUUGCUCUCGGCUUGGUCCGCAGAGCUCGCUCGUAAAGCAUGAGUGUCGUCCAGCUUAACCAGUUUGGUCCGACUCGGCGUAAUAGUUUAUUCGCUGAGGAAUUUUUUCUUUUUCGCAAGAAAGGGAAAAAAACCAAACCCUGCAAGGAAGGCGCUUCGAACCCCUCCACACGAGCUUUUUAAACGGCUCUGAUCUAUUAGACCUCAAAUCAGGCAGGACUACCCGCUGAACUUAAGCAUAUCAAUAAGCGGAGGAAAGGGCGAA
rnacentral:rRNA from 1 species